UGAAGGAUCGUAAACCAUUUUAAGGAUAAGUAAUGAAGAAACUUCCAUGGGGACCGAGAGCUACUUAGUUCUAUCUGAAACUAAAUACACUUCUCGUGGUGUCACCAGAAUCGGAUGUGUUUUCAGAUCUCUCGAUGAAGCUGCAUUUUUGACAAAGUAACUACAGUAUAUUCACUUUACUCUUGUCCUUAGUAUAAGAAUUAACAUGGAGAUUUUCUGAAUCAUUUUGAUGUUUUUAGCACUGACAGUUUUUCAUCAUUUUUGACUAGCAUAGAACAGGAAAAUUGCAGGUAAGAUUCUCUCUUCUUUAGGCUUCAGUGAUUCUGGCAGUCUUCCAGGAGACAACAAGCCCAUGUAUGCCUCCUCUUUGCCUUCGAAAGAUACCCAAUUUAUCUCUGAGAGCUCCAGAAGUACAUGUUUUUUGAGAGAAUUGUUCUGCCUGAAUCCAAAGGAGGGUGAAGAACCACAAUGACCUUGCAAAGCGGAAAGGCCUGACCCAAUGAUUUUUUACUAAUCGCAACUUUACGAACAAAACUAAGCCGAGAAUGGCCAAAUUCCAGAAAAUGUUCUUAAUGGACACUAACAGGAGCAAAAUGACAGGCAUAGAAAUGACAACAUGGAAUCCCAAAAUUCUGAAGAGAACUAACAUCACAAAGCAACCAAGUAACCUGAAAUAUAAGAAGAGACAGGUCCCUCCAAAGAGAAAGGAAGUGAUCUCUGGCUCAGUUCUAAGAGAAUAUGUGGGGAAGAGAUGCUGAGCACCAUGGCGUAGGCCUUCAGGAGGUCUCAGCUGAAGCCCUGAGGAUGUCCCAGCUCAUCCUCCAUAGUUGGCCUGAAACCAGAUUGUGUCCCUCCAGAAUCCUUAGACUGCUAAGUCUUUGCUUGGCGAGUUAGCUCUUAGCAGUGGCUUUCUACUUAGUUUCCUAAUCUCUUAUCUUUAGCUUCACUCAGUACAGUUUAGGAGUUACAUAUGUCUCAAAGGGAAAUUCCAUGUAGUUCAUUUGGCUUCCUUCUUUGCAGUUCCUUUUAUCCAGGAUCUUGGCCCCAAAUCCUGACUACCCUGGUAACCCUAAACUCCCAACUUUCACCUGCCCAGCCCACUGAAACUGAUGCAAGUUUCAGUUCAGCCUUUAUGCAUUAUGCUUGGAAUUAGACUCCCUAACCCUAAACAACUUGAACACUAAUCUUUAGAAAUAGAAUAAAAGCGGGUAUGGCAUGGCUUAUCUAAUGUUUCCCUUUUUUCUGGAUUCUUUGAUGCCUUCCAAGGGUUGUUCUCUGUUUGUGUUAUGUUUUUUUUUUAAUUUACUUUUUAUAUUCUGUGGAAGAGCUAGAAUAUCAUGGACACAAGCAAAAAUCCCUGCCAUUCCUUUCACACAUUCCUGGCCAAAUAUAUGCACUUAUGUAUUAUCCCUGUACCCUAAAGGCAUGUAGAUUGUUGAUCACUGGUCUUUUGGAGCCAUGUGGUGAAUGAGUGCUGAGUUGGCAUUAUGUAUCUCUCCAUAGGACAGUGCCAAGCACUCUGCUCUUUGGACCUUUUAACAUUCCUCAGUAAAACUUUCACAUCCACCAAAAGAUGUAUCCUAAAAUCUCUCGAAGUCCCUUUCCAGCAAAAUGUAUUUUCAUUAUAUUCCUAUUGAUUCAAAUGCCCUUACUAUUGUAAUGAGCCUUUGAAUUCAAUUAGGAGAUUAAAAAAGUAAUAAUUGUAGCCAGGGCAUGGCUUUGCCGGGGGGAGGGGGGUGGUUGGUGAGAAUUCAGGACAUUGAUUAUUGCUACACACUGAAAUAUCUUGGCUUUAUAUCACUUAUGCAUCUUACCCCUUAUACAUUCAAUCAGGAUGUAUGUUCAUCCCCUGACCGGUCUGACCCAAUUCCUCCUCACUCUCCUCUUUUUCCUAUGCUGCCAUGGCAGGCUUUCUCCGUCCCUUGUCGACUUGAUGUGUGUGAGGGCUGUAAAAAGAAGCUAAGUAGUUCUGGCACAGUAAAGAAGUGUGGAGGCAGUGCUGAACAGCCAGAGGACACAAGAGCUCUGCCAUAUUAUACUGUUUGUCACUCUGAUGUGAACAAUGGCUAUGAGGUUAUUAAACAGAUUGUCCUGGGUUUUUCCUCUCAUUAGGAUUUUAGCAUUCUCUCCCCAUGCCAUUGUCCCAGGUUUCUUCCCAUUGUAACCUCUUAAUUAUAAUGCAGGCUUGAGGAGAAGGAUGCACCCACUGGAAACCAAGCACUGGUGCAGUUGUUCAAAGCCACUUGAGUAUUCAUUUGUUUAUUUGUUCCUAGGUUUACAAUUCAGCUGUGUUAACUCAUGGAAACUGCUCUGGGACAGAUUUAAAUCAAAACAGACAGUUUCCAUUUUUGCUCUGAAAAUCAAAUGGGAAGAUUUGUUUUAAAUCAGUGGUUAGUGGCUUGCCCCAACAUGCUUGGAAUGUGUGUUUACUUUUUAGAUAUAGGAUAAUGUAUUUUUUUUUACAAGUUAAAAUGCCUCUGACAAAAUAAGCAAAAAAACACCUAAUAUGUAUGGACUAUAGUAGAAAUCUAAAGAAUGAUGCCUUCCUGCUAACAAAUAUAAGUUUCUUAGCUGGAUAAAGUUUCCUUGAAAAUUUAUGAUAAAUUAAACUUCUUAUAUAGGACCUUCUGUCAAAAAAGAAAAAAAAUACUUAUCUUUAAGCAGGACACUCUAUUUGUAUGAACAUUUCAAUAUGUAAAAAUAAUUCCAAUUUAAAAUCGUAUUUGGCUUUAGUGUUAAGUCUGUAAACUGUGUUUCUAAGUGAUGUCCAAAUCCUUAGUAUUCCGUUGAUUUAAGAUUUAUUUAGUAGCCAUAAUAUGCUAGAAUAGUAACACAUGAGGUUUACUGUGGUGAAUUCCUCUUUAAAAAAUACUUAACAUCCCUUUAGUUUUUAUUUCAUUUUUGUGUUAAAGAGUACCAGAAUUGAAGUUGAAGUAACUCACUGCUCAAAAGAUUGGAGUAAGCAGUGGUAACAACUUUACCCUUUAAUGAGUGAAUUGUUGCAUCUUUAUUGACAAUAGAUUUGUCGAUAUGUUUCUAUAAGAGACAGAAUCUUAACUUAAAA